CCGUCACACUCUACCAGAAAGGUCUUGACAGUCAGCGAGCGGGUACUCUGGUCCUUCAUUUUUCGGUCCCUCGGAGCCCUAGGGACUGUGCGCCCCGCCACCCCCAGUACUAGAGGGAGCGGACACCUUCCUUUGUGAGUUCCCUUGGCUGGGAACUUUCCCGCGCGGUGGGUUCCCUUUAAGAAAGUACCGAUUGCUAUGAAUAUUUAAUACGGAGCUGAAGUCCACCGGGCCGAGGGGGAGACCCGGCUCAGGCUCUGCGGCCCGGCAGCACAGCAAACACAUCCCCACCCGACCCGCCAGGGUCUGGACAGAUAAACGUGGUUUGUAUGGCCUUUGGGACAAGGCUCUCCAUCCCCAUUCCUCAAAAGCCGGCAUCCUGAAAGUGACCUCCUGAUGCUGCUGCACAUUAUGGCCCCAUGGUAGCUCUCCUACCGUGGCAGGGACAACUGAGAUUGACACUCACAGGGCUCCAAAGGGAGGAAGACACCUGACCUCACCUGGCCUUUCUACCUGCACACAUAGUCACUUGGAGAAAAUCAAGUGUAUGUACCGUCUCCCUGCAGAUGGUGUAUCUGUAAGUGUGCAAAGUUCAAGCCAGUGAUGCCCGGAUCCCUCUUCUGCCGAGAGCAAGUCCUGGAGGGCACAAGUCAUCCCUGAGCUCUUGAAAGUGUUUCAGCAAAAAUAAUAUCUUGUUCAUAGAAGAAGAAGAAGAAGAAGAAGAAGAAGAAGAAGAAGAAGAAGAAGAAGAAGAAGAAUUAAAAAGAUGUCUUUAUUUCCCUUAUGCAGUGUCUGUCCUAACACUUGCCCCUUGUAAGCUGUCUAGUUGUUAGCAACUUACAGAGUCACAGUCACAGAUGUGCCCCGUGCUUUCCUUUCUAGUCACUGAAAAUGGAGAAUUUACAUUUAAUUCUGUCUUCCCCUGGACUGUUCUCACCAGAGGGUGGGGCGGGGGGGGCAUGUGGAGCAAAGUCCAAAUGAAAAGAUCAGCCUUGUGACCCAAGUAAGUGGCACAGCCACACACCUGGGCAGUGCAUCCCAUAGAGAGACCCUCAAAGUCUGGAAACUGAGUUUUGCAGAGAUUUUCUAUCCCUUGUAUUCUUAGCCAAUUCCAGUUAUUUACAUUUUCGUUGCGUUCCCAUGCAAAGCACACAUGUAGAGGGUCACAUGACCUCACAUUCCCCGCUGAGCCACUCCACUGAUGUCCAGCACACAGCGGAAGAACCAGAGAACGAGUCUCUUCUCAGGUAUUUUAGAAGGUCAUUUCAUAGUGCUUGAUAUAUCCACGGACAGAAACUGUCCAGGUGCUCAUUACCUACGCCCCCCCCAAGAAACAGGAAAACUGCUCCUUCUUUUAAAAAAACUAGCAAUGUUUCUGAAGUAGAAGGAAACUCACCGAGGUCCAUUAGCGACUUACAUACAGAAUAUGGCUUGUCUGGGGAAACUAUAUUUGCAAAUAAACAGCUCACUGUUAA